rnacentral:rRNA from 1 species
ACUCCUACGGGAGGCAGCAGCAGCGGGGCAUAUAUCGGUUGUAUCAAUGUAAUUGCAGGAAUUAAGAAUGCCCAUUUCAUUUUAGUGGACAUUGACAGUAAUUGUCUUAAUACCACCAAAGUGAAUAAUAUGAUCACGUAUUAUGAAGGAUUGAGGGGAGGGCCAUUCAGCAACAGUAUUGCUUUUGUAAAUAACACGGUUGAUAGUCUAUACCUGCCGCUGAACCACUAUAAGAAAAUGUGGAUAUUCAAUACCCUGCAUGAGAUACCGGAUAAAACAAAUAUGAUAAAGCAGAUAUCCGCUGUGAUGCAAAGCGGGGGAGAACUCAUCAUUGCCGAGCUGAUGGCUACCGAGAAAAGGAAGAUACACGGCGGCUGUCAUAAACCAUUAAUGAGUGAAGGAGAGAUAAAAACACUGAUGGCAGAAGCCGGGUUCGAUUUUAAAAAUGUGGCUAUAAAUCCCCUCCCUGUGAAAAAGAUAAAGAAUCCUUAUUGUUUGUUCCGUUUUGUAAAGAGAUAAACUGCCUACAUUUGUUUCCGAAAAUCAAACCUAUGCUGCGUAAAUUCUUAUUGCUCAUUAUUCUCUGUUUUUUUACUGCUGCCUCCCGUAGGAGU